CUGACGACUGGCGUGAGCAACAUCUACGCAGCGAGCGACGGACGGGUUCUUCUCGAUCGGUGAUGGAAUACGACUGUGGUCUACUGCAGGGAACUGCGACGAUUCCAGCUUCCCCGGCAGUGUCAUGGACGAACCUGCGGCACACGACCUGCUCCAGCAGAUGACGUAGCUCCGUAUGCUACUGUAGCAACAGCUCGGCAACACCUCCGCCGUCCUCGGACACACUGCUGCGCCUGAACUUGACGGUAGCGACGCUUUCCAGCUACAGCGACUCCGUCGUCAUGGUCUCGGACGCUUGCCGGACGGCCGUCAAUCACCGACGAGGUCUGCGUAGAGUACAGCCCGCAGCUCCUGACUCUGUCCUGCCGAUGACAACUUGCACUUACUAGACCUUCGAAAGGUGGGAGGGAGUGUGGCGAUAGCAAGGUGUUAUCGUCGAUAGCCUCCCCCCCCCCCCCCCCCCGCACACGUGCAGUGUCCCUUUCUACUACGAGGGAACCUGAUCCACGGAAAAGUGAAUCUUGACGACUGUUGCUAGCAGUGGACAUAUUACGACGCAGUGAUCUUCUACAGGUAGCGGCGGUGUAUGCGAAUAAACAUGCUGUUGUUGGUUAACCCGA